CUCGAUUAUUUACAGACCGCCGUCAUAUGGCUCGAAUAUUGCUGAGUGCGGCGUUACAAAACAAACCAGCCAACCAGCCAACUAUUACAAAACAGAAAUAACACGCCCGUGUGAUGUAUAAUAUUGCCCCAGUAAUAUAGUAAACGUUUAGAAAAAAAAACACAAACAUGUAAUAAGAAGUAGCAGUUAAAACACAAACAUUAUAAUAGUUGAAAUGUCCAAGAGGACAGUGUAAUGAAGAGCCUAACAUAUUCGUGAAAACGGGAAAAUGAUUGAGAACAUCUUAAUAGUGUAUACUAUCGACCCCGCUUUGUCUCUUUCACUGAUGACACCGAAACUGGUGUUAACCCAUCAUGUAAACGUCCGUUUAAAAUAUGUCGAAUGCGGGAGAGUAUAGCUUUAAUACCUCGUACCAUGUGAACUACUCGAUCUUAAAUUGUUAUCUAUUCGGCAAAGGUCAACACACACACCCUCCCCUACCCCACCCAACCCCCUCGUUUUACAAAGGGCAUUGCAUGUUAGUGCUGAUGUUAAUUGUUUUUUUCUUAUUUGAAGGAUUACGCAAUUAGAUAGACAUAAAAAAUAAUAUCUAACUGUUACAAUCUGUAUUAUGCAUUCAAUGUAUGAAUUUCAAUGUUUGCUAAUCCACUUGUACAUUUUUCAACUUUCAUCAACAUCAUUCAUGUUCAUAUCAUCAUUUCAUAUCAUUUUGUUUUGAAUAUAUGAUCUAUGUGUGUUUCUUGAAUUUGCCAAUAACACUGAAUUGUAUUUGCCUGAAUUUGUGUUACUCUAUUUACACGUGACGGUGAUAUAAUAUGUGUUGUAUACUUAUAUUUUCCUUUUUAUUUUUUCAGGUGAUGAUCACAACGUGCAUAACUUAGACGUGCAUAAAUUAGAAUUGAUCAUAAUUUGCAAUGAUGUCAAUGGUCAUAAUACAACACUUUGUGGUUAAUGAUCGUACACACUGCUGCCAUUACGUGAUAUAACUAGUUCGCUACCAGACACUCCACGUUUCAUAUGAUCCAGUGUGGUCAGUAACCAUGCCAAUGUAUAUCAAUACCUGAACAUUGAUGUCUAUCGACUUUACUGCCUGAGUUAUAAAUUAGAAUUAUAAGUGAAAUUACGAUUUGAUUCCAACCUUAUUAUGAUUUAAAUGCGGUUUUCGUGGUGCCCGAAUUUCUGUAUCUGUGUUUUGAAUGGUUGCUUUGUGUUGCAGAUUUCUGUAAUUUAGCUGGCAAAAGGAGUCAUUCUGUGUACAAACGUUGAACCAACACACAUCAAGCGAGGCCAACGGCUGGAUCCUGUUCCCCAAAAGAGCACUGCACUCGUUUUAUCCUCAAGUGAUCAACAGCAAACUGCUGAAUAAAUAACAUCGUUCGGUUCGGCAGCGGUGUAGUGACGCUCCCGAAAAAUCCAAAAUAUUUUUUGAACGGCGUUCUUUUUACAAUCGAAUGAAUGUCAGUAACAGCAGUGUAUGUUUUGUGUUUCUCAGUCCAUAAUCCCCAUCCACUUCAUAAUACUUGUGUUAUAUGACCUAAUUUGCAUAUGGCAAACAAAAGUGGAAUAAAACAUUAUACA